GGCGAGGCCGCCGCAGGCAUGCUGGGAGCUCGGCCGCCGUGUCCCUCCGCGCCGACGGGGACUUUUCGGUGGGGAUUUUGGGCGCCGAGCAGACGCGGCAUUUUCGGAAAAUAGCGCCCUGUGCAGCGAAGCGCUCUGUGUGUGGCGGGGCCGCGUCUGCCCUGACGGCUCCGAGGCGCCGCGGUCCCCGCACCUCCUCCCGCUGCUCCCCCGCCGCCGCUCCCGAAGCUUUUCCAGAUGUCCCUGGUAGAUUUGGGGAAGAAGCUUUUAGAAGCGGCACGAGCCGGUCAAGAUGAUGAAGUUCGCAUUUUGAUGGCAAAUGGAGCUCCUUUUACUACAGACUGGUUGGGAACUUCUCCACUUCAUCUGGCCGCACAGUAUGGGCAUUUCUCUACCACAGAGGUUCUUCUCCGAGCCGGUGUAAGUAGAGAUGCCAGGACCAAAGUGGACCGGACACCACUGCACAUGGCGGCUUCUGAGGGCCAUGCCAACAUAGUAGAAGUUUUGCUUAAGAUGAAACAGGAGUAUCUGCUGUUCAGUUUGGAAACUCCUCUACGUCAGUAUUAGCUACGUUAGCUGCCUUAGCUGAAGCUUCUGCCCCAUUGUCCAAUUCUUCAGAAACUCCAGUAGUGGCCACAGAGGAAGUGGUUACCGCAGAAUCUGUGGAUGGUGCAAUUCAGCAAGUAGUUAGCUCAGGGGGUCAGCAAGUCAUCACGAUAGUUACAGAUGGAAUCCAGCUGGGGAAUUUGCACUCCAUACCAACCAGUGGGAUGGGUCAGCCCAUCAUUGUGACGAUGCCCGAUGGACAGCAAGUAUUGACAGUACCAGCAACAGACAUUGCUGAAGAAACUGUCAUCAGUGAAGAGCCACCAGCUAAGAGACAGUGUAUGGAAAUAAUUGAGAGCCGGGUGGAAUGUGCAGAAAUUGAAGUAAGGAGCCUUAUACCCGGUGUGUUUUGCUGCAGCCAUCCAAAAUAAAUUUUGUUUCAUUAUUAUUAUUAUUAUCACUAUUAUUAUAUUAAUUUGUUGUUUAUAUUUAUUACUGGCCAUGUUUUGAUAAAGAAUGAAAGUGAAUAGUGUCAUCAUUUUGUUUUGGCCUUAAACAUAUGGCAAGCCCUCAAUAAAUAAAUAUUGAAUGAA
rnacentral:lncRNA from 1 species